rnacentral:rRNA from 1 species
GACGAACGCUGGCGGCGUGCCUAACACAUGCAAGUCGAGCGGAGUCAGUAAGAGGAAGUUUUCGGAUGGAAUCUUAUUGAUUUAGCGGCGGACGGGUGAGUAACGCGUGAGCGACCAACCUUGCACAGGGGGAUAACGGACCGAAAGGUUCACUAAUACCGCAUGAGACCACGGUGUUGCAUGACACAGGGGUCAAAGGAGCAAUCCGGUGCAAGACGGGCUCGCGUCCGAUUAGGUAGUUGGAGGGGUAACGGCCCACCAAGCCUAUGAUCGGUAGCCGACCUGAGAGGGUGAUCGGCCACAUUGGAACUGAGAUACGGUCCAAACUCCUACGGGAGGCAGCAGUGGGGAAUAUUGGGCAAUGGGGGAAACCCUGACCCAGCAACGCCGCGUGAAGGAAGAAGGUUUUCGGAUUGUAAACUUCUGUCCUUGGUGAAGAGAAGAAGACGGUAGCCAAGGAGGAAGCCCCGGCUAACUACGUGCCAGCAGCCGCCGUAA